GAUGAACGCUGGCGGCGUGCCUAAUACAUGCAAGUCGAGCGAACGGACGAGAAGCUUGCUUUUCUGAUGUUAGCGGCGGACGGGUGAGUAACACGUGGAUAACCUACCUAUAAGACUGGGAUAACUUCGGGAAACCGGAGCUAAUACCGGAUAAUAUUUUGAACCGCAUGGUUCAAAAGUGAAAGACGGUCUUGCUGUCACUUAUAGAUGGAUCCGCGCUGCAUUAGCUAGUUGGUAAGGUAACGGCUUACCAAGGCAACGAUGCAUAGCCGACCUGCGAGGGUGAUCGACCACACUGGAACUGAGACACGGUCCAGACUCCUACGGGAGGCAGCAGUAGGGAAUCUUCCGCAAUGGGCGAAAGCCUGACGGAGCAACGCCGCGUGAGUGAUGAAGGUCUUCAGAUCGUAAAACUCUGUUAUUAGGGAAGAACAUAUGUGUAAGUAACUGUGCACAUCUUGACGUUACCUAAUCAGAAAGCCACGGCUAACUACGUG
rnacentral:rRNA from 1 species